rnacentral:rRNA from 1 species
AGAACGACUCUCGGCAACGGAUAUCUCGGCUCUCGCAUCGAUGAAGAACGUAGCGAAAUGCGAUACUUGGUGUGAAUUGCAGAAUCCCGUGAACCAUCGAGUCUUUGAACGCAAGUUGCGCCCGAAGCCAUCAGGACGAGGGCACGUCUGCCUGGGCGUCACAC